rnacentral:lncRNA from 1 species
CAGAUGCACACCCAUCUGUUGUUGUUAUUAUUAUUAUUCUAAAACAUUUUUCCUGUAAUUUUUAAUUAGAAAAUGUUGUACAGGAGCCAGCCACCCAUCUUCCUAUUUCCUUUAGUUCACUCAACUGUAGAUUAAACCAGAUUGUUAAAAAUCUGUAGCCAAAAAUGAAAUGAAAUUAAAAAGCCAAAUGAUUCAAGAGGGUAUCCCCCAAGAGUCUCUCUUUCCUCUUUCCCUGAACAUCUAUCAAUAUUCAGAAACAAGAUGACCAAGCCCAGGUAACUGCCCUGAACCACUUCAAGGCUAGAGGGAAAGACAAAUUCAGAAAGUCUAUUGUAGGUGCUACCACACAACAGGGGCACCUGAGAGUAAGCGUGAUGACGGUAGGGGUGAUGAGAAGAGGGAUCAAGGAUUACUUCCUAGAAGAGGUGACACCUGAGCUCAAAAUAUGAAUAGAAGUUAGGAGCCAGGCAUGGUAAUGGUGCACACCCAUAAUUCCAGUGACUACUGGGAGGCUGAGGCAGGAGGAUCAGAAGUUCAAAGCCAGACUCAGCUACUUAACAAGACCCGGUCUCAAAAUAAAAAGUAAAAGGUAGCUCAGUGGUAAAGUACUACUGGAUUCAAUUUCCAGUACUGGGAGAAAAUUUUUAAAAAGAGUUGAGAGGUGAAUGUGGGGGAUGGGAUAAUGGGGGAUGAUGGGUAGCUUCCGGCAGAGAGGAUGGCACGAACAAAGUGAACAGAAAUGACACUGUCUAUUUGAUAAACUACAAACCAUUUAGAGCACAUUGUGAAGUAGGGAGAGAGUAGCAGGCUGAAUAAAGGCUUCCAAAGACAUCAGGUCCUAACACCAGGAGCCUGCAAAUGUCACAAUAAAAACAGGGUCUAU